rnacentral:antisense_RNA from 1 species
AAUAACCAAAUACAAUACUUGGGCUAAGGGUCAAAUUGGUAAUUUUUCUUACAUCUCCCCCCCCCGGAGCCCAGGUAUCAUAUACACCCCCAAAAAAAAAGAGCCUUAAAUCCUAGAAGAAAAGCACCUAUACCUAACAAGAUUAAAUGAAUACCCAAAAUUGUAGUCAUUUUAUUUCUAUCUUUCCA